rnacentral:lncRNA from 1 species
UCUGAGUGUAGCCUAUUACACUUAGGUUAACAGUUCAAGUUUAACAGAAAUUGCCAGUCCUUUUACAUACAUAGGUAUAAAGAGGAGAGUGACUGGACACCAGGAAUGGGACAAGGGCAGACUUGGUAGGGGUGAGGGGUGGUGUACAUAGUACUGGGAAGAUUGUAUAACUAAGACAUUUGAGGAAGAGGGACUGGAUUUAUUCCUAGUGACCCCAAGGAGACAGGUGAGGACCAAAGAUUGGAAGUUAAAGGCAUUUGGGCCAAUGCUAGGGAGAUGACUCUAACUGUUGUCCCUGACCAGCAUUGGGCUAGAAGAACUCAUGGGAUUGACAGUUCUUUAUAAUGGGGGCCAUCCAACCAGAGUGCUUCGUACAGUGCCUGGCCCAGUUAAGUGAAGAAUAAAUGCUGUUUUCUGGGAUCCAGGUUAAGGUUAGGAGUUUCAUUGACCACCACUAGGGGGAGCGCUGGCCCAGUUUCUACUUCACGGUCCUGGGGAUUAAGCACAUCGUGCUCCCAAAAAAAUAAGUGAUAGUGAAGAGGAGCAAAGAAAGAAAACGUGGUGAUGGUGCCGGGAAUAAAGGUAGAUGGGAGUCCCCUGGGGAGCCGAGGCAUUUGCAGAACCAGCUGGCAGUGACUGAGGGAUUAAUGAUGAAGGCUUCCCCGGGAACGGCCAGCAGCCUGGCAGAGCGAGCCUGGUCUCUGGGGACAGUGAUUCCUCUGCCCUGAAAAACCCGAGCCUACCGCACUCUGCACACCUGUGUGAGCCUGGACGCUCACAGAAGGCAUCUAAAGAAAACAGUGACUUGUCACAGUUUCAGUCUGUACGUUUGUCUCGAAAUACAUGUUUCCUAUUAAUUUUUUUUUUGAAUGACUAUGUUUUGCAAGCUUAUGGCAGAAGGAAGCACUCAGCUAUCUGGUAGAUGAUGCCAAAUAUCGGAACUGGCAGCUAUUGUCAGCAGAGUGAUUCCUCCAGUCAUUUACCUCUCAGACACAAACCCAUUCCCCUACUCUCACCUCUGUACGGCUG